AAGUAUGAAGCUAUUGUGGCUGUAGUUUUGCAAAGACUAUUAAGGAGUGAGUUCCCAUACUUU
rnacentral:tRNA from 1 species